GUUCGCCGCCGCCUGCUCCGAUGAGGCUCUGGAGGAAAAUAACCUGGAAAGGGAAACUCUGGAUGCAAUGAUAGAUGAUUGCUUGGGAUAUUCCACAGCCUCUGGGAGGUGCAUUCCUGAAAACUCCUCAGAAGGGGGGAUGCCUAAAGGGCAGGAAAGCCUGGCUCAGGAUUGCCCAGGGAGAUCUGAGCCCUCAUCUGACCUUCCCUGUGGCCAGAGCGCAGGGGAUGAGAGUCCAGCAUCUGUGUUGCCAGCAAAAAAACAACUUCCCAAAGCAGCAAUGAGCUGUUCCUCAAGGAAAUCAGGCUCUCCAGAGGAAGCUGAAGGGAAAUCCACAGGAGCUGAGCAGCCACCAGGCAGCACUAAAUUAAGUGACACACCUGCAGGCCAGACUGGGCAGGAAGAGCCACCCAGAGGGAAAAAAAGUGGCAAAUUAAUUCUCAUCCCACAGAAGGAGGAAGAAAGGCCAAAACUACGGACCUGCAUUUCAGAAGUACAGCCUGAACAAAAGAAACGUUUCUCUCCAGGCCAUGCCAAUCCAAGUGAGGAAAGGUUUACCUAUCA